GGGUAUGUACUUAGCUGACGGUGCGAUAGGAUUCUGGGUUACACCCCUUAACCUUGAAGCGCUGAGGAAAGUCCGCCCACCAUGAGGAUCAUUUGGGUUCUGAAAAGGGCCUGAGUGCUCUGGAAAAUUGUUGCCGGGCUAGUAAUCCGGAUCCAGCGAUGGAUGGCAACCGCUCAGAAACGGUACUGCCUGCAAGAUGCUAUGAGGUUGUGACGGUUUUGGCAACAAAACUCAGAUAACCAGCCGAGUUUGCUUGCAGGAUAAGUUGAAACGGCGAGCCCCUUCAGGUGCAAGUCAUUGACGCUCAGUAGAAUGCUAAGAUUGUUCAAGGCAACUUGAGCUAACAGAAGGCGGCUUAUUCAUACCC
rnacentral:RNase_P_RNA from 1 species